GACGAACGCUGGCGGCGUGCUUAACACAUGCAAGUCGAACGGAAAGGCCCUGCUUGCAGGGUACUCGAGUGGCGAACGGGUGAGUAACACGUGGGUGAUCUGCCCUGCACUUCGGGAUAAGCCUGGGAAACUGGGUCUAAUACCGGAUAGGAGCCAUUUUUAGUGUGAUGGUUGGAAAGUUUUUUCGGUGUAGGAUGAGCUCGCGGCCUAUCAGCUUGUUGGUGGGGUAAUGGCCUACCAAGGCGGCGACGGGUAGCCGGCCUGAGAGGGUGGACGGCCACAUUGGGACUGAGAUACGGCCCAGACUCCGACGGGAGGCAGCAGUGGGGAAUAUUGCACAAUGGGCGCAAGCCUGAUGCAGCGACGCCGCGUGGGGGAGGACGGCCUUCGGGUUGUAAACUCCUUUCGCUAGGGACGAAGCUUUUUGUGACGGUACCUAGAUAAGAAGCACCGGCUAACUACGUG
rnacentral:rRNA from 1 species